rnacentral:lncRNA from 1 species
AGAUUUGUUUUCUUUUCUGCAUCUUUCUCAACCAUCCAUCUACUACCAUCAUCAUCAUUUUCCCUAAUCUUCUUAAACCCCAUCCUUAAUAUUCUUCCCCCUUUCUUCUCUCUCUGCCUCCUUCUCAUUCUGUUAUCUUCCUUUUAUUACUAUAAUGUUUUUUCUGGGCACAGUUUUGAAGAUUUGUUUUGAAUCUUGAAGAGAGAGCAGCAAGCCUUUUGGCCUAUGGAUUCUAAGAGUCACAUUCCAACAGGUGAUAUCAAAAGGACAAGGAAGCAGGGAGGGGUGACUUGCACGGAAGGUGCCCAGUGAGAUGUCUCUGCCAUGGAGAUUGUGCUGAUGCCACAAGCAAAGCGUUUGUACCCCUCUCAUCCACAAGAGAAGUCCCUCCGGGUAUUUCAGAUGAUACCUGAAAGGAUGAUAAGGCAGGGAAUCAGAGGCUGACACCGCUAUUGGAUGGACUGGGGGAGUGAAGACCAAAAGGUCAUUUUCAGGAAAAAAAUAAAUUAGGAAGUACAGGGAUAAGACAGAAGCCACCACCAAUAACUCCACACCUACAGCUCCAAAGCAUGUGAUUCAGAAGGAUCCUUGUUGAUAUUGGCCAUCACCUUGUGUCACAAUACCAGUGGCCGCAGAGAUUUAAAUAAAUGCAUCCCAGAUACAGAGUUAAAAGCAUGCCAACAAUGAGGGCUGUGUGGUUUGGAGAAGAGCAGAAGAGCACACUGCUUUCAGUCAGGCAGAGGCAGAUUAGAUUGCCUGCCACCUCCAGUGGGAUGGUGGCUCCGGACAGUCACUCACCUUCUCUAAAACCCACCUCCACCUAGUCUAUAAAAUGCAGAGAACGAACAAUGCCUACUCCACUGAAUUGUAUGAGCAUUAGAAAGGGUGUGUGCAAAUCACCUGACAUUUGGCAGAAUUCAUUACAUGCCAGCUGUUAUUGAAAGUAAUUGAAAUGUUGUCAAGCUAGUCAGAGGAAGAUUUCUAACUAAAAGCUAUACUAGCGAAAGCACUGAGAAUAGAGUGUGAUAUCUCCUAUUAAAAAACACAUACGUAUACAUAA